UACCGUAGGCUCUACCCUCUGGCUAUAGAGGUGUGUGUGUGUGUGUGUGUGUAGGCUGGUGUACCGUAGGCUCUACCCUCUGGCUAUAGAGGUGUGUGUGUGUGUGUGUGUG